UCGGCGGCGGGGUUGGAAGGUCGCCGGCGCAGGACGCUUUUCGAGAGGCGCGACAUAAAUGCUAAAUGAUUGUGCAAACUGUUCUUACGAAAGAUCAGCGUUCUUAUAACGCAUGAAUAGGUUAACAGAUGAACGCCAAUAAUAGUGCAAGACAGAGUGAAUAACAGAACAAUAUUUUUAAAAGAGUGCAAAGAUGCUUGUAAGAGUGCAAUAAGGUAUAAAUAAUAGUGCAAUCGAUUUAAAAACGAGUAAAACGAAAGGGCAAUAAGGUAGUAAACAAGUGCAAUAUUUUGAAAAGACUCGUACUAAGCUUAUAAGGGUUCGUUGGAGAGGUUGAUACAAGGUAUAAUAAUAGUGCAACGCCAGGUCGGUGAAAUGAAAAUUUAAUUUAAAGAAGGUUUUAAGUAUUGUAACACAGAUCAAAAGAGUUUAAGAAUCUCCGCUAAAGCGUGUAACAGAUGAUACCUAGUACGAAAUUUUCAAAGAUUUGGCGUUAACAUGAACAAAAUAGGGCAAAAAGGUCGAAAUUUAUAUUAUUCUAGAUAUAAACAGUGCAACAUUUUAUGAAAAAUAUUGUAACUGGUAAAUAGUGCAACCAAUUCCUAAGCAGUACAUUAAUUUGUGAACAAGAAUUAUAUUUUCUUCUUUAAAUCCGAGUACACGAUUUUAUACAAGUUUACACAAUAUAAAAAGGAUUUGCCUACAAUGAAAAAUUCUAUUACUUCAACAAUAACAAAUUGAACGUUUUAUGUUACAGAAAUAUCUAAUCAUCGAAGCUUGUCUGCAAUUCCACCCGCACAUAGCCUAAGAUAACAUGUAUAGGCCAGGGGAGACUUCCGCAGGAGACUGCGAGGAGGAGAUUGCAAGUAGAAGACUGCGAGGAGAAGACUGCGAGGAGGAGACUGCGAGGAGGAGACUGCCGAAGGAGACUGCGAGUAGGAGGAGGGUCGUUCGGAAGUGUAGAUCCAGCAACGAGGCCUUAAGAUUGAUUUGCACUAUCUGGAGUGCUUUAUUUGCCUCAAGCCCUUUGGAGCUCCGCUCUACCAUGAAACAGACAGUUCAAUCAGCAUAACAUAAGAAUCCAUCAAUAACAAUAAAGAUGUGUAAGAAUUUAAGAACCUGUAUGAGAGGAGGGCCAAUGGGCUCGUGGCAAAUAACGCAGUCCAAAUAGCACGAAUCAAUCUUAACGCCUCAUUGCUGGAUGGUACCCUUCGGAGCGAGCCGCCUACUCCACGAACUCUGCUUCGGCUCCCUUCGCAGCGAGCCGCCUACUCCGCGAACUCUGCUUCAGCCAUCUACCGUCGUUGCUUAACGUCAUGAAUGAACUGUAGCCUAGUAACUAUUGGUCAAGGAUGCGAAGGCGAGGAACGGCGUUCCCGGCAGGAGGAAGAGCCGCGGCAGUGUAGGAGGAGGCUCCAUCUCGUACUUCGGCGCUGCGUUUCCUCUUGCAGGGAACACCGUUGUCGAUUCACGUCCUUCACCAAAGGUUGUGUUUCCGUAAAGGGAGAUGCAUCUGAAGAACCGAUAUUUAAAAAAACGAAUCGUGGGCUGACAAACCCGCCAGUACAUCUCUUCCUCACUUACCGAAUAUACCUUACACGUCACUUAUCGUGCCUUCCACUAGCAUUCAAAUGCGAGGGGAUUAAGGGUGCGCACGGCGAUUAUUAGUGCAAUGUAGGGUGAAAGACCACAACGAUGAUUACAAUGGUGCAAUGUGGUCGACAUAAUAGUUCAAUGAUAUCAGAGAGCAGGAAAAGAAAGUGCCGCGCAAGACAUGUAAUAGUGCAAGUUCCGUUAAAAUAGUACAAUUAAGUUCAUAAAUGUGCAACUAUGUCAUACUAAUAGUGCAAUGGGUUCAUGGAACAGCAAACACACGUUCUGGCGAAUAGCGUGGAUAUGCGCUCCGACCGCAGCG
rnacentral:lncRNA from 1 species